rnacentral:misc_RNA from 1 species
UUAAAAAAAAAAAAAAAAAAGAGAGAGAAUGAACAUACCAAAUAUGUGAUUAUUCUAAGACAAUAACAGCUAACAUUACUAACAUUAUUACAGAGGCUAACUUCUCCUAUCACUACGAACAAAACAAUUAUAAGCAUCAUAAAGCAGGAUGACAACUUUUAACCGCCAGAGGCCAACUUUAACGAUGGCAACAACAUGCAUUCAUUGCCUCGUCUUCCACAAUACAGCAACCAACUAGUCCACCCAAAUUGUCAACCACCAAAGUUCAAAAGGAAAUAAAUCCCUUCCCCACAAUAAAUUUGUAUGCAAUAGAAAAUGCUUUUUAUUAAAUAACUCAAUAGCUGCCAAAAAUUUUAAGAACUAUUAGGAAAUACUUCAAAAUUAUUUAUCCUAAAUGUAUCAUACCAAUAUUGAGUAUGUUCUUAAAAUCAUAUAAGAACAGAACCUAAUCUUGGUGUGCAAAAACUGUCCCUGAGAACGGAAACUUAGUCUUGGUGUGUAAAAGCUGGUACGAGAAUAUCCCUGAGUGUAAGUACCAAAAAAAAGUCCUUUACAUUUGCAUAUGUAAAGUAUAACCAAUAAAUGAAAAAUAAUACAAAUAACCAAAAAAUGGUUAAGCUUGAGGAUUAAACUUGGGACCUUUUGAUUCAACCUUAACGACUGAAGCAAGGUCUCAUUGGCCUCUUCAAGAGCAGUUUAAAGCACAUACUGUAAGUUAUUGUAAGAUCUAGUCGAACGCCAGAGUCACUUCCCGCCCUCCACAGUCAUCAACAAACAUGUCUCAACCCAAAUUGAACAGAGUAUACCUUUUACAAUAGACAUUUCCAUUUAGAAAACGUCAAAAAUGCUUGUAUAGUAUAUCUGGAAGUUUUACCUUAUUAUCAUCUGUGAUUUCAUAGAUACAAUCAUACAAAUAUGCUGACGUUCUACCUUCUUAUCAUCGGUGAGGUUCUUCGCAGCUGAAGAUGCAGAAACUGAAAAUUCAUGAAUCCAUUUAACAACAUUGGUGUCAAUCAAAGUUCAGCUAUGAACAGUCAUUGCAGAGUAUAGAGAUGCUAGAUCAGUAUAUAAACAAAACCACAAAAACACAGAAACGUGUACGCACCAUUACAUUUUCUGAAGGACCAAACUAAAAGGUACCAAGAAACAAAAAUGGAAAAUACACAAUUUCAAAAAUCUAUUUUAAACAGUAGCACAAAAAAAGGGAGAAGAUCUACAACCUCAUGGGACAGAAUCUGAGAUAUUACUCAAAAUGACUUAUUAUACAAAGGGUGUGAUGCCCACUGAACGCAACGAGCUAUGUAAUUCACACAAUACUAGAAUACGAUGACAGGAUAAUACAAAAUCAACACGAAAUCUUUGAGUGAAUGUGCUAUCAAUCAUUACGGGAUUGCAAAGUAAAACACAUGCACUUAUCUUUCAUCGCUUCAGCCUCACUUCCAUAUUCUUUGAAUUUGUACUCUUCCUGCUUAAAAACAGGAGGCACCUUUCCUUCACUGUAGCACUGAUUACAUAGACUAAAAUGAGAUUUCAUCUCCUUGAAGCGAGACCCAAUAAUUGGGUAGCGGCAGACUGAACAAACAUGGUUUCCGUGGCGAUUCCUAUCUCCAGUCUCCAGCUUCACUAGAGUUGACAUAAUACCAAAACCCCAAUCAGGAUCAUCAAACAUCACAAGGAAAUCAUUGAAAGAUACCAUUGAAGAAUCUGUCUCCCCAUGAACUUCUAACAUUUCACUAACUCCUCGUGAAGGAACGUAAAUAGCCCUCAGCAACUUCAUAUAACGAACAGCAUCACUUUUUCUAAUCUGAGAACCACCUUCAUUCGCAGGACGCCACAAAAGUGCAUCAAAAGCAAUCCGUUUUCGCUUGUCGGGACUGCCACUACAAAUGGGGGCAAGAACAGCAUAGAACAUGCCCACGUCCACCCUGCCUGAGCCUGUCUCAUCCAAAAUAGAGAGAACCCUCUCAUUUAUUGCCUUGACAGUCCCCUGAAAGGUUUCAGGUUUCACGAAAUUAAGUAACCUCCGAAGAAUUUCCUCCAAGUUAGGUUUGCGUAUGGAUUUCUCUGGAACACCACCGCCGGAAUAAGACAACGGGGCAUCAUUUUCAUUCAUUUCCUUCUUCAAAAGCUCCACAUCACAACGACCCAACCUGGUAAUCCUUUGAAAUGCCCUAAUUUGAAGAGCAUUGACCAAGUCCUGCCUCAAAGUAGUUUUCUCACUCACUGUCUUAAAUUUUGAGGGUUCCACAACAACAAAAGCUCCCUCCCCAUUUGCACCUCCAUUAGGCUUGAGCUUCUUCUUCUGCAGCUGCUUUAAAUGUGAUAUUGCAUCAUGCAAUUCAACCCUAUUUGUCAUUUUCAAAGCUUCCUUCAAAGCUUUCUUAGCUUCCUCAGUUUCACCAGCCCCCAACAACGAGACAGCCUUAUUAAGCUGUGCCCGCCAAUGGUUUGGCCACACAGCUAACACCCUGGUAUACAUUUCAGAAGCUCUCUGAAACCUGCCCAAGUCCAUGUAAAGUCCACCCAAAUUAUACAAAGCAUCCACAUGGCUGGGUUUUAAAUCAAUAGCCUUUUGAAAAACCUCUAUGGCCUUCUCAUCAUCACCCAUGGCAUGCAAUGCAGAAGCCAGAUCACAAUGGGCAUCAGCAUAAUCCGGUUUCAUAAAAAUAGCCUCUUCCAAGGCCUUAACAGCCGCCAUAUAUUCCCCUACCCCGAAUAAAGCACUACCCAGAAGUUUCAGUGCUCUAAAAUGAGUAGGGCAAAGAAUAGCAGCUUCUCUAUAAUAUUCACAGGCACUUAAAACCAUACCCUCACCUUCUAGUGCAAUACCAAGAUUGACAUAUAUCUGAGGAAGCAAGUAAGCCCAUUGAUUUCCACCUGCCUCAGCUGCCUCCAGGGCCAACAAGAACUCCUCUUUAGAUUGCUUAUACCUCCCAAGAACAUACAAGCAAUUCCCAGCUCUAAAAUGUGGCCUAACAUCCACAGGCUGCAACUCACAAGCUCUCUUAAAACUCACCAAUGCCUCCUUAAACAACUGGUGCUCAUACAAAACCCUCCCAAUCGCCAUAUGCCCAUCAAACGCCUCUUCUCUCGAUCUCGCCCCGUCAGCUCGGCUCCUCAGAACACCCAAUUCCUUCACGAAGACUGCGUAAUCAUGCCCCGACUCCUCCCAAAAUAUCCUUUUAUCCGAUAUCUCAGAAGAUGGGCCCAGUUCCCUCGACCACCCAGCAUCAGAAUAGGCAUCAAAAUUGUCUCCUUUCAAUUUCCCAUCUUUCGCUUGCUUGGCUUUCAAUCUCUUAACCAAAAUCUCCAAAUCGUCGACCAUUUUCCAGGUAUCAUCGAAAACAAUCCCAUGGUUAGGAGAAACCGCCCACGCAGCAGUUGUCUGCUUUUUCUGCGAUUCAAUAGCCCUCUCGUCCAAAAUUGACGAGGAAGACGCCUCAGACGCAAUCGAGAUCCCUUUGUUAUCGUCCAAAUUGAGCUCGAGCUCAAGCGCAUCGAAGUCUCGGUCGACGUCACCAGCUCCGUCAUCAUAAGUACGCAACAAGCCGUCGUAAGUUAAACCUUUCUCGCCGUCGAUGAACUCGCCGUAAGUACGAAACACUUCAUCGAGAAUGGCAUUGAUUUGCUCGUCACUGAAUUUGACCCUAGGGUUCACAGCGACCACGAGAGCCGCCAUUUCUUCUCUGUUGAGACCUCCAUCUCGGUUAGAAUCAAAUUUCUGAAAAAUUCGCUUCACCUUCUCUGAUCUGCUCCCUCUGGUUGUCAUUUUAGGUGCUGGUUUAGUUUUGGGGUUUGAAAACUGGAGUGUAUAACGCGAAUACAGAUAACAAGCAACUCCGUUGAAGUUUCAAUUCAUUAAAGUAGGGUUUAAUUUUGUGGAUUAUCGUUCUCUAAUCUUCAUUGCAAAUUCCUUUAAGCAGAAAGGGAAAGGCGAAACUGAAAAGGGAAGGAAGAGAGGAGUGGAGCUGUUUUUUCUUUCUUUCUUUUGUUUAGCUCUCUUUUGUUCAAUUUGUCCGUUAGCUAUUAGUGAUGUGCUGGAGCUACGUCCUGCAUAGGUGGCCACCGCACACCGGUCCGGUCGGAUAAGGUUUCUGUUUGGUUUGGAUAGGUGAUGGAAGGGCAAUUAUCGAAAGGGCAACCCUUAAUUUUACCCUCUAAUUUUAAUUUUGAAGUUUUUUUUUUUGUUAUGAUAGUUCCUCAAUUUCAAUUGUGUAAAAAAAAAUUUUAAUUUUAAUUUAAUACUAUUUGGCUCUAGCGCUUAGUAUUACGUCUAGCCAGAAACUUAUCUGGACAUUAUAUAUAAUAAAAAAUAUUACUCUUUUUUAAGUGGUGGAGAGAUUUGUUUUGACUGGUCUAAGAUAAGUACAGACCAACUUUUAGUUGAAGCACCAAUAAAAUCAAGUAAGGUGGAUUUGAAUGGUAUUAAAUUAAAAUUUAAAUAUUUUUAUGAUACAAAUUGAAAUUAAGAAAUGAUAACUUUCAAAUCUAACUCUCAAAGUUAAGAGAGGAAGAGUGAAAUUAACCCUUAGCCAAAAUCUUAAGAACAUAAAACGUUCAUUCCCUUUUCUAUUUCCAAAAUAAACUUAUUGUGCCCCAUAUACUGCACCUGAUGAAUUUAAGAAUUAGGGAGGUGGAGGUGGAAUCCUACAUUUCGAGUGUGUUUGGCCCUAGCAAAGAAACAAAGAUUGAGCAGUUUAGAAGGUUCCAUCAAAGUAGAAGAAUCUUUUCCUGCAAUCUUUAGGAGAGAGGCAAAUGGCUUAAGGGGGUAGACUUUUGCAGGCCUUGGCAAAUAAACUAUGUCACAAGAGGACAAAUCCACUUGACAGGAGAAGAUAAUAAAAACAUAGUUACAGUAUGCAUACAAAGAUCCAAAAAGAUCAAUUAUUGUGUAUAAAUAAGAUGAUGGCCUGCUUCUUAACAGGAUAAUUGGAUAGAAAGAUAGGUACAACACUUUGCAACCUUGUAGUCCCUGUUCAUUUUCUUCAUCCUCCAUUGCUUUGAUGCCCUAAUAUGGGACCUUAGAUAUUGUGGUAGAGAUGGGAAAGGCAAGCAAGUGGAUAAUAAACUUCUUGCUAGGGAAAAAAGAGGAGAAAGAAAAGAAGAAAAAUAUUGCUUUCUAUGAUGGUAUUGGUAGUACUGUUGCAACUCCAACUUCAAGUGUACCAUCAACUCCUUACAAGCGUAGAUGGAGCUUUGGGAAAUCAGCAAGCAAAGAGCGGGUUCAUAAAUGUUCCAAAUCUCUCGACUCAAUAACCCCACUUAUAGCACAACAUGCAUCCUUAUUGGAAUGGGAAAAUCAGCAAAGUAAUAAAAAGGUCAAGGCAUUGGCAGCACCCACAGAAACUAUAAAAAGAGUUGUGGCACCGAGGCAUGUGGCAGCAGAUAGAAUAAGCAAAUCAGUUGAAGAUGCAGCUGCCACCAGGAUCCAAGCUGCCUUCCGUUCUUAUUUGGUACUAAUAUAUUUGUUUCAUUUGCAUAUCCUGUUAAGAGAGAGUAAGAAGACAAAUCAUAUUGAUUGAUGCAUUUUUGCAGGCAAGAAAAGCAUUGUGUGCUUUGAGGGCCCUAGUGAAGUUGCAAGCACUGGUAAGAGGUCACUUGGUGAGGAAACAAACAACAGCUACUCUCAGGCAAAUGCAUGCCCUGAUGGCAAUACAAGUGAGGGCUCGGUUUCAAAGAAUUCAGAUGGCUGAAGAAUCAUCACAGCUUGUCGUAAGAAGCCAAUCAUCCAGGCGAGGAAGUUCAUCUCAUGACAAUGGACUCAGAGGUGCAUAUAAAGUAAGUAUUAGAGGAACUUUGUCAAACUUUAUGAGACAGACACAUAAUUGAUUUGAAUCUUCAACUAGUGGUUUGUGUGGGUAACCUGUUCAUUUAGGAGGCAAUCGACCUAGAUAUUUAUGAAACAAAAAGAAUUUUGAAGAACAAACAUGAGCAUUUGAAUCAUUCACAAAUGGAGAGAAGGGAGCAUGGGCGUACCAAAUACUACUCGGAAGAACUCUCAAUCUUAAAGCAAGAGCACCAGUACGAGGAGUUUUCCUUCUCCACAGCACAGAAUAGUCCCCAAAUCUGUUCCCCAAUUCCCAAUACAAUCCCUGGAAGAGCCUCUUUCACCUAUCAGAAGCCAGAUUAUGUGCACAGUAUUUCUCAUCCAAACUACAUGGCCAACACAGAAUCUUCAAGGGCUAAAGUCAGGUCACAAAGUGAACCCAAACAGAGGCCCAAAUGGGGCAUGAGACCAAAAAGCAACCAAAUGGCUUCAAUGGACGGAAAGAAUGCCCAGCAAGAAGCUCGCAUUCAAGGCUCAUCCUUUCACUUGAUGCCCAUUGCUUAUGAAAACCAAGACCCCUGGUUCAUCAAGCUCUAUCAAUCAACCAUGUCAAAGGAUAUUGAUUGUGAUCCCAAAAGCACGAGUAGCUCUAGUUAUCCCAACCACAGCAAACUUCUGGUUGAAUAUGAGGUAGGUUUUGCAUUAAAUUUCUUCUCCAUUUCAGAAUCUUGCAAACGCUGUUUUUCUAACUCUUCUGAAUCUUUUGACAGCAGCCCCAUUUGAAUCUGUACUAAAUGGUAAUCCAAAUUCUGAUGUGGUUCUUUAUACCAAACAAAGAGCUGCUGGAAGGAAUAACAGACAUACAAUUUGGUUUGCUAUGAUGUAAUAUCAUGAAAAACACUAUAAGUUUAUGAAUCUAGUGUCACCACAAGGGAGUAUCAAGUUCAAGUUCACCCUAGAACCUUUCAAGGCAGAAUUCUUCUUCUAAAGCUAUGAAAUCAGUUUCAUUUGAAGAUUUCUGGCCACCAACAAUUGCAGACAAAGGAAGAAUGCAUCCUCUGCAGCACAAAAUUGCACACUAAGAUUCCUUGGAAUUAACAUAGCUUUCCUUUCUGAGGGGAAAAAAUUAAAGAAACCAGAUCGUUGGCAUAUAGAAUAUCAUAGCUAGAUGACUUGUGUAAAACAUGAUCUUUCAUGAGAAUCAUAGAAAGAACAAUGAUUUCAUUGUUUAUUUAAUAUGUUAAAUUAUUUAAUAGGUUAAAGAUACAACAUACAGGAACAAUAGGUGAAAUACCAAAAUUUUUUUUCCUUCAUUUGCAAAUAGUGAAUAACAGCUUUUCCCAGAAGUGUCACAAGCAACAAACUUGAACUUUAAUCAUCCACUAAAACUAACCUUUGAUCUCCGAAAAAGCAUAAUGUCAGUUUGGACACCACAAAUGUCUAUGAUCUUACUGGUUUAAUGUUUUGUGGAAUGCAACAGAUGUUGAUGUCUUCAGCAGCUCUCUAAUGGCCAUUGUUGCAUAAGAUGAAGCUGGAAGAGUGAAGCUUAACUUGAGAGCCAUUUGGGCUUCCUGUGAAUUAGAGUUGCAUAGAGACUCAACUUCUGCUCGCCCUACUUCUCGCUCACCCUCAGUCUCAUUAUAAUCUGUUGAUACAUGUAUAUUAUUUUGAAAGCUCGCUGGUGGUCCCAUGCAAUCAGAUGGGUUUUUAUUCUCAUCUCCAUUGGCUUGUUCUUCUUCUUUGAAUAAGCUCUUAGAUUUAACCUUGGCAAUUCUGUCAAAAUCUGUCUCUGCCAAUGGUAUAUUACCAUCAGUAUAUGAGAGUAAUUCCCAUUCAAAGUCCAUUGGCUUCUGAAAAACACGCCUAUAACUUCCAGUCAUGCUAGUUAUUGAAAAUUCCUUGACACUAUGCACACUCUCAGCCAAAUUGAUAGCAUCCUGAUCAAAACAAAUAACAAGGUAAUUAAAAGAAAAAAGAAAUUAAAAAAGGUUCUGAGAAGGCUAGAGUUUGAACUUUGAAUGUGAAAUAAGUAAAUAAGUUGAAAGAAGAGUGACAGCAUGACUCCCCAAGGGGGCAUGCUUCCUAACUUUGGAAUAAUAAAAGCAGUCUAACUCCCAUGCUUUGUAAUUUGUACUUCCUCACAUGGAAGGAUAAAAGCAGAGAUGUAUGCACCUUGGUUGUAUUGAGGGGUUGAGCCCAAGGUGCUCUUCCCCAAUAAAUAUUAAAUUUUCAUGAUGAUUGAUAAAACAUUCAAGGACUUUCCAGAAUCCUUCUUAUACAGAGGUAGUUGAUAGAUUGUUAAGUUAUUUCAGACCUUCUUUGACAAAUCAUGAUAAACUUUGGCAAUGUCAUUUGUUGGAUAAGACACCCUAGAGCUGCCAAAACAAAAAGUGUUAAUUUCAUUGUUGACUUGUUCUUUUUAAUUUAAAAACAGGUAAGAGCAAGAUUGGUUUUGCCUUACCCAGGCAUAGGAAGGAUCACAUCAUCAAUAGUAUAAUUUCCAGAAGAGAUAUCUUCUGCAGUUACUGCCUGCCAAAAGAUAGGCAAUCAUCUUUAAGUUCUCAAUCUUACAUUAAACAUAUUCACUUUAUGAGUGAUAUAUAAUCAGAUUAACAACAGAGAGCACCACCAGCAAAAUACUAUUCAUUGUAAACUUCACAUACAUGAUAGGGAAAAAUAAGUGAUCCAGUACCAUUACUCUAAAGAUUGGCACAUAUGUACAGAAAAGGAAGAAAUAGUUUUGUGAGAGCUAUAAUAUAGAAUUGACCUUAACAGGAGUGUUUUUCCAUUCAGGAACAUAUGUUCCAGAGGUUUCAUCUAAAUUACUGCAAUCAUACAUGUCAUCACAGCUAUGAUCUUCACAUUCCGAAUUAAAUCCUGAUGUCUCUCUUGCAGUAUCAUCUCCUUUGCAAUACACCAAGUCCCCCACCACAACUCGGUCAAUUCCAUAUUUUUGUACUCUCACACUUGCUGCAUGGUUCCAUAAAUAGCUUUGAUAACUGUGUACAUACAUCAUUCUCAAAGUUCUAGGUAUUGCUUUCAGGGCCUGCAAGUAGUUGCCAGGACAUUUCUUCAUACAUUGAAGUAUGGCCCUUUCAGCAAUCAAGUGCCGAGGUAAUUGCCUUAGGGUCCCUUCAAUAUCAUUGCUUUCUCUAUAAUAUUCUCGUGCCUUCCUCACCACAUCUCUUUCCCCUUCUCUUGGAUCAAGGAUCAUGCUUGCAGCACUUUUCCACUCUCCUCGGAGCAAUGCAGCCCCAAUUAGAUGUGUUGGCACAGAACCACUACCAAAACGUUGUAAACCAAAGUAAUUGAUGAAGCCAUGCCUUCCUAAUGAAUCUGCAGACCUCUUAAUAGUAUCUUCAGAAUCUGCAACAACUCCUCGUAAUGUAAUGGUGAAUUGGUUACCUAGGAGCUGCCCAAGAAGAAGUUCUUCUGUGACAUGGCAGAAGUUACCCACUUUGAUACCAAUCAAUCUGUCAUUAAGAGCUGCUAGUCUAGUAGCAUGCUGCUUGAAAACACUAACCCUUUGUGUUGACACAGAGCGCUUAUCCUUUAUACCCGCAAACCCAAAACAUCGUGGCUUAAUGCCAAGCAUCUUUCCUAUUAAUCCUAUGGCUUCGUGUGUAUCUUUGUUCUCCUUGUAAAGAUGAAACCUAAGAAACUUGCCAAGGUGCUCUGGCCAAUUAUUUGAACCUCGGCAAUCAAAGGGCUGACCACCUCUGUCCUUCCGUUUCUUGGAAUUUCUUCCUCCAUUGUUAUGUCCUCCAGACUUCAAUCUCACACGAAUGCAUUUCAGUGAAGCAUCAGGUCCAUCAACUGUAUCAGUAACAAGGAACUUGAACUUCUCCUUGAAGAAAUUAUGCAUUGCCGUUCGAUGGGCCUUAUCAGAAUCCGGAGAAAGAAGGAUUGGCGAAAUGUUAUUGCUUUCUUCACUUCCCGCAGUAAAUUGAGUGAGAAAAGCUUCAAAACGCUCCCCAUCAGAAUCACCGGCAAGUGACCUGAACGCUUCGAUUUCAGAAGCGUAACUUUUCCCAAUUUGAUUCGAUACCUUAUUCUCUCCCUCCUCUGCGGCCUCAGCAAGCUGUGCAGGAACUUCCAAAGAGGUCAAAUGAACUACAUUUCCAUCCUUAUCAACUUCGUUCACUAUAAAAUCGGAAUACCUUUGCUUGAGAAUGCCGCGAAAGCCAGGAAGUUGGGAGAUAUAGCAGAAGAUGCCUACGUCAGAUUCAUCUGUGGUCAUCUUGGCGGUUGCCAUUAGAGUUUUUAGACAACAGCCGGCGAUGGGAGUGGCGGCGAUGGCCGUUUUCCGAUAAGUGGAGUUGCAGGACGACGACGGGCAUGGUUUUACUACUGAACAGCACCGCAACGACACGGGGUUGUGCCACCACAUUUCGGGGGUUUUAGCUUUCACGAUUUCUCCAAAACGCGACUUUCUGGACUUCACAGGCUCUCUCACACAUUCAGAUGAACCCACUUCUCAUAGCACAUGAAAUAACUGUAAUAACUGUAAAAGAAUUGUGAGUAUAGGAUGGACGGAGCAUCUUAUAAAUUCCCUUUG